rnacentral:rRNA from 1 species
GUAAUAGCUCACUAGUCGAGAGGUCCUGCGCCGAAAAUGUCCGGGGCUAAAACACAACACCGAAGCUUAGGAAUUCUUUUGAAUUGGUAGAGGAGCAUUGAAGACGGAACGAAGCCAUACCGAAAGGAAUGGUGGACUGUCUUGAAGAGAGAAUGCCGGAAUGAGUAGCGAGAUUGAAGUGAGAAUCUUCAAGGCCGAAUAUCUAAGGUUUCCAGGGUAAAGCUGAUCUGCCCUGGGUAAGUCGGGGCCUAAGGCAAGGUCGAAAGACGUAGUCGAUGGAUAACAGGUUGAAAUUCCUGUACUGCAUCAAAUCAGAAAUGUGGGGACACAUGAGGGAAGCAUGAGCCGGAAAAGGAAAGUCCGGUACAAGCGCAGCAGAGGACAGAUAGGAAAAACCGUCUGUCAACUCGAGGGCGUGAUGUGGAGCGAACCAAAGUAGCGAAGCAUGUGGAGCUUGUGUCGAGAAAAGCCGCUAUAGUGUUUGAUGUACCCGUACCGUAAACCGACACAGGUGGAUGAGGAGAGAAUCCUAAGGCCGGCGGGAGAAGCAUUGUUAAGGAACUCGGCAAAAUGACCCCGUAACUUCGGGAGAAGGGGUGCUCCAGAGAUGGAGCCGCAGAGAACUGGCCCAAGCAACUGUUUAGCAAAAACACAGGUCUAUGCAAAACCGAAAGGUGAGGUAUAUGGGCUGACGCCUGCCCGGUGCUGGAAGGUUAAGAGGAGAGGUUAGCGCAAGCGAAGCUUUGAAUUUAAGCCCCAGUAAACGGCGGCCGUAACUAUAACGGUCCUAAGGUAGCGAAAUUCCUUGUCGGGUAAGUUCCGACCCGCACGAAAGGCGUAAUGAUUUGGGCACUGUCUCGACAAUGCACCCGGUGAAAUUGAAAUACCAGUGAAGAUGCUGGUUACCUGCGCCAGGACGGAAAGACCCCAUGGAGCUUUACUCUAGCUUGAUACUGGGGUUCGGUAUUGCAUGUACAGGAUAGGUGGGAGACUGAGAAGAUGUGUCGCCAGAUGCAUCAGAGUCGAUGUUGGGAUACCACCCCUGCAGUACUGGGCUUCUAACCUGCAGCCGUGACCCGGCUGGGGGACAAUGUCUGGUGGGGAGUUUGACUGGGGCGGUCGCCUCCGAAAGAGUAUCGGAGGCGCUCAAAGGUUCCCUCAGAAUGGUUGGAAACCAUUCGAAGAGUGCAAAGGCAGAAGGGAGCUUGACUGCGACACCGACGGGUGGAGCAGGUACGAAAGUAGGACUUAGUGAUCCGGUGGUAUAAAGUGGGAUUGCCAUCGCUCAACGGAUAAAAGCUACCCUGGGGAUAACAGGCUUAUCACUCCCAAGAGUUCACAUCGACGGAGUGGUUUGGCACCUCGAUGUCGGCUCAUCGCAUCCUGGGGCUGUAGCAGGUCCCAAGGGUUGGGCUGUUCGCCCAUUAAAGCGGUACGCGAGCUGGGUUCAGAACGUCGUGAGACAGUUCGGUCCCUAUCCGGCGUGGGCGUAGGAUAUCUGAGAGGAGCUGUCCUUAGUACGAGAGGACCGGGAUGGACUGACCUCUGGUGCACCGGUUGCAUUGCCAAAUGCAUAGCCGGGUAGCCAAGUCGGGACGGGAUAAACGCUGAAGGCAUCUAAGCGUGAAGCCCCCCUCAAGAUGAGAUAUCCCAUAACAUAAGUUAGUAAGACCCCUUGAAGACGACGAGGUAGAUAGGCAGAAGGUGGAAGUGUGGUGACAUAUGGAGCUGAUCUGUACUAAUAGGUCGAGGGCUUAACCAA